AGGUGAAUCACGAAAGGCUUCAUCUUCUGGACACCAGCACAUCUUAGAUUGUGCCUUCCUUGUCAACACCAAGGCAAGCUGAGCCAGGAGGAUAGUGGAAGGUCACACAGGUAGAAAACCUGCUGACCAAACUGCCCCUGCACCAGACCUAAUACAUUUUGGGUUCGAUCCCUUAAUAUGUGUAAGCAUUUACACUGCAAGUAAGAGGAAAUUCUCGCUGGAAUGACCAGGCCAAGAAAAGAAAAAUGGAAACGACCUAAAAUGCCUAACAAUGGAAAUGAGUUGAAUCCAUCUGGCUCAUAGACAUGACGAAAUACUGAAUGGCCACCAUAAAUGGACAUAUGUUUAUUGAUGAGGAAAGAUCUUUAUAACAUAUUGUCAAGUGAACAAAAAAGCAUGCUAUAAAAAAAGGUCAUGCAGAAUAAUCUUAUUUUGUAAAAAAAAAAAAAGUGUGUAU
rnacentral:lncRNA from 1 species